rnacentral:rRNA from 1 species
UACAGAGGGUGCAAGCGUUAAUCGGAAUUACUGGGCGUAAAGCGCACGUAGGCGGUUUUUUAAGUCAGAUGUGAAAGCCCCGGGCUCAACCUGGGAAUUGCAUUUGAAACUGGGAAACUAGAGUGUGUGAGAGGGGGGUAGAAUUCCAAGUGUAGCGGUGAAAUGCGUAGAGAUUUGGAGGAAUACCAGUGGCGAAGGCGGCCCCCUGGCACAACACUGACGCUCAUGCACGAAAGCGUGGGGAGCAAACAGG